CCAAAUACGAGUCGAACUCUUGUCCUGAAGUGUAGAGGCCUAAACCAGUACACAACCAACUGGACAAGGUUAGAUUUGGUGGAAA